rnacentral:rRNA from 1 species
CCUACGGGUGGCAGCAGUGGGGAAUAUUGGACAAUGGGGGGAACCCUGAUCCAGCCAUGCCGCGUGUGUGAAGAAGGCCCUCGGGUUGUAAAGCACUUUCAGUGAGGAAGAACGCCUGGUGGAGAAUACCCAUCAGGAAUGACAUCACUCACAGAGAAAGCACCGGCUAACUCCGUGCCAGCAGCCGCGGUAAUACGGAGGGUGCGAGCGUUAAUCGGAAUUACUGGGCGUAAAGCGCGCGUAGGUGGCUUGAUAAGCCGGUUGUGAAAGCCCCGGGCUCAACCUGGGAACGGCAUCCGGAACUGUCCAGCUAGAGUGCAGGAGAGGACGGUAGAAUUCCCGGUGUAGCGGUGAAAUGCGUAGAGAUCGGGAGGAAUACCAGUGGCGAAGGCGGCCUUCUGGACUGACACUGACACUGAGGUGCGAAAGCGUGGGUAGCAAACAGGAUUAGAUACCCUGGUAGUC